rnacentral:rRNA from 1 species
UUAUCUCUGUAGAGUCUGCAUAUCAAUAAGCGGAGGAAAAGAAACUAACUAGGAUUCCCUUAGUAACGGCGAGUGAAGCGGGAAGAGCUCAAAUUUGAAAUCUUCAAGGUUCUACCUUGACGAAUUGUAGUUUAAAGAAGUGUUUUCUGUUAGUGAAUUUGGCUAAAAGUUCUUUGGAAAUAGGACAUCAAUAGAGGGUGAGAAUCCCGUAGUUUGUACAUUCCUUCUAGCUUUGUGAUACACUUUCAAAGAGUCGGAUUGUUUGGGAAUGCAGUCCAAAAUGGGUGGUAAAUUUCAUCUAAAGCUAAAUAUUGGCGAGAGACCGAUAGCGAACAAGUACCGUGAGGGAAAGAUGAAAAGAACUUUGAAAAGAGAGUUAAACAGUACGUGAAAUUGUCAAAAGGGAAGCGUUUGACACCAGUGUUGUUUUCUCGAAAAUCAAUUAAAAGAAUGUUUGAUUUUUGAGUAGUUAUGACUUCAUCAGCUUUCUGCACUUUCUUUAUGUACUUUCUUAAUGCACUUUUCGUUAACAAGUCAACAUCAAUUUCUUUUGUUGUAAAAGAGUAUGAGGAAGGUGGCUUUCUUUUCGGAGAAAGUGUUUAUAGCCUUGGACUUCUGCAAUCGGAGAGAUUGAGGUCUGCAGCGUAGAUCCUUCGGGGUUAGAUACACUUGUGCUAAGUUAUAGCUUUUCAUAGACAACUUGUUGAUUAUGAUUCAGUCAUUGUAGCUUACUCGCUUAUGCUAUUUUACCUACGCUUAGGAUGUUGAUGUGAUACUGCGAGCA